AGUAGAUGACGGUACCCGAAUAAGAAGCACCGGCUAACUACGUGCCAGCAGCCGCGGUAAUACGUAGGGUGCGAGCGUUAAUCGGAAUUACUGGGCGUAAAGCGUGCGCAGGCGGUUUUGUAAGUCAGAUGUGAAAUCCCCGGGCUCAACCUGGGAACUGCAUUUGAGACUGCAAGAC
rnacentral:rRNA from 1 species